rnacentral:rRNA from 1 species
GAUCCUGGCUCAGGAUGAACGCUAGCUACAGGCUUAACACAUGCAAGUCGAGGGGCGAGCAUGGUCUUAGCUUGCUAAGGCCGAUGGCGACCGGCGCACGGGUGAGUAACACGUAUCCAACCUGCCGUCUACUCUUGGGACAGCCUUCUGAAAGGAAGAUUAAUACAAGAUGGCAUCAUGAAUCCACAUGUUCACAUGAUUAAAGGUAUUCCGGUAGACGAUGGGGAUUGG